CUGCGUUUGAUUGGCAGCAAAGGGCUGUGUGAGGACAUGACAGUGCUUAUGGCAUAGGAAGGUUUUGGCUAGACCUUUAUGUAUUAAACACGCUCCUACACUGAAGAUGAGGCUCCCUCCACACAAAGGAACAACGAGGACGAGCAAUAAGAGAAGACAUGGUAUUGCAUCCAUCGUGGCUGCGGACCAGACUGACUGCCUGCUGCUAACUUCUCCCUGCUCUGAGGAAGGGCUACAUUGAUUGGCUAAUACAGCCGCCACGCCCCGCCUUGCCACGGCAAGCUUGGAGGAAGGAAGACGCUCAUUGGCUGACAGGGCUGCCACGCCCCGCCCGGCCAGAGCAACGCUUCCUCUGCUGUAAACAAACACUGUUGCUAUUCAAUAUAAUGACUAGCCUAAUUAUUGGCAAUUAGACCUAUAUUCAUAUUCUGUUAAGGUAAAUAAGAAAAAGUCAACUAGGUCAGGCAAACACCUACUAUUCUAACAAAAAAUAUUAAAUUGUCAGAAAAGAAAACUGGUUUUACUUUACGUAUCACUCAAUAGAAAGAAGAUAUUUAAAAAAAUAUGAUCUGUCAGUCAGUGGUCACCAUAAGGAAUUACUACCAUUAAUAUCAGCAAAGCAUUACUUCACAUUUUCCUUUCCAAUUAAAUUACCAUAUCCCUUAGUAAUAUAAUUUUUACUACUAAUUAUCAAUGAUGUGUGCUAUGAAUUUACAUCAGCGAUUUACUGUAUGUCAGCCUAAAAAAGUGAGUAUACUCUAUUCCACAAAGAAAUCUGAUGCUCCAUUCCACAAAGAAAUCUGAGGAAACCGAGAGUAGGUGGAUUACCCUUUAAUGGCAUUCCUGUUAUUUUCAAUCAAUCAUUGUGCUACAAUAAUUUUAGCAGGAAUGACAAUAAAACUGAGUGCACAUUU